rnacentral:rRNA from 1 species
GUAGGUGGCAAGCGUUGUCCGGAGUUUACUGGGCGUAAAGGGGCGCGCAGGGUGGGCUCGUCAAGUCUAGGGUGAAAUCUCCCGGCUCAACCGGGAGGAGUCUCUGGAUACUGGCAGGCUAGAGGGAAGCAGAGGAGAGCGGAAUUCCCGGUGUAGCGGUGAUAUGCGUAGAUAUCGGGAGGAACACCAGUGGCGAAGGCGGCUCUCUGGGCGUUUUCCUGACGCUGAGGCGCGAAAGCGUGGGGAGCAAACCGGAUUAGAUACCCGGGUAGUCCACGCCGUAAACGUUGGGUACUAGGUGUGGGGGGUAUUGACCCCCUCCGUGCCGUAGUUAACGCAAUAAGUACCCCGCCUGGGGAGUACGACCGCAAGGUUA